CCUACGGGGGGCAGCAGUGGGGAAUAUUGCACAAUGGGCGCAAGCCUGAUGCAGCCAUGCCGCGUGUGUGAAGAAGGCCUUCGGGUUGUAAAGCACUUUCAGCGGGGAGGAAGGCGGUGAGGUUAAUAACCUCAUCGAUUGACGUUACCCGCAGAAGAAGCACCGGCUAACUCCGUGCCAGCAGCCGCGGUAAUACGGAGGGUGCAAGCGUUAAUCGGAAUUACUGGGCGUAAAGCGCACGCAGGCGGUCUGUCAAGUCGGAUGUGAAAUCCCCGGGCUCAACCUGGGAACUGCAUUCGAACUGGCAGGCUAGAGGCUUGUAGGGGGGGGUAGAAUUGCAGGUGUAGCGGUGAAAUGCGUAGAGAUCUGGAGGAAUACCGGUGGCGAAGGCGGCCCCCUGGACAAAGACUGACGCUCAGGUGCGAAGGCGUGGGGAGCAAACAGGAUUAGAUACCCUUGUAGUC
rnacentral:rRNA from 1 species